ACGUAGGGUGCGAGCGUUAAUCGGAAUUACUGGGCGUAAAGUGUGCGCCGGCGGCGUCGCAAGUCGAGUGUGAAAGCCCCGGGCUUAACUUGGGAAUUGCGCUCGAAACUACGGUGCUGGAGUAUGGCAGAGGAAGGUGGAAUUCCACGUGUAGCAGUGAAAUGCGUAGAUAUGUGGAGGAAUACCGAUGGCGAAGGCAGCCCCCUGGGAUAACACUGACGCUCAUGCACGAAAGCGUGGGGAGCAAACAGGA
rnacentral:rRNA from 1 species